rnacentral:rRNA from 1 species
UACCAGCACCCCGAGUGGUCGGGACGUUUAUUGGGCCUAAAGCAUCCGUAGCCGGUUCUACAAGUCUUCCGUUAAAUCCACCUGCUUAACAGAUGGGCUGCGGAAGAUACUAUAGAGCUAGGAGGCGGGAGAGGCAAGCGGUACUCGAUGGGUAGGGGUAAAAUCCGUUGAUCCAUUGAAGACCACCAGUGGCGAAGGCGGCUUGCCAGAAUGCGCUCGACGGUGAGGGAGUGAAAGC